UAUAUUUAAGUGUAAUGAUGCACAAAAAUUUUUGAAAUUUUUAGAUUUAGUUUAAUUCUAAUAAAUAUAA
rnacentral:tRNA from 1 species